rnacentral:rRNA from 1 species
AACGUAGGUUCCGAGCGUUAUCCGGAUUUACUGGGCGUAAAGCGCGUUCAGGCGGUUUGGCAAGUCGGGCAUGAAAUCUCUCGGCUCAACCGGGAGAGGUUGUCCGAUACUGCUGGACUUGAGGGCAGUAGAGGGUGGUGGAAUUCCGGGUGUAGUGGUGAAAUGCGUAGAUAUCCGGAGGAACACCAGUGGCGAAAGCGGCCACCUGGACUGUACCUGACGUUGACACGCGAAAGCUAGGGGAGCGAACGGG